UACGUAGGGGGCAAGCGUUGUCCGGAAUUACUGGGCGUAAAGCGUGCGCAGGCGGUCUUUUAAGUCAGAUGUGAAAUCCCCGGGCUUAACCUGGGAACUGCGUUUGAAACUGGAAGGCUAGAGUGUGGCAGAGGGGGGUGGAAUUCCACGUGUAGCAGUGAAAUGCGUAGAUAUGUGGAGGAACACCGAUGGCGAAGGCAGCCCCCUGGGCUAACACUGACGCUCAUGCACGAAAGCGUGGGGAGCAAACAGG
rnacentral:rRNA from 1 species